rnacentral:misc_RNA from 1 species
GAUGAAGAACGUAGCGAAAUGCGAUACGUAAUGUGAAUUGCAGAAUUCAGUGAAUCAUCGAAUCUUUGAACGCAUAUUGCGCUCUCUGGUAUUCCGGAGAGCAUGCUUGUUUGAGUAUCAGUAAACACCUCAACUUCCAUAUCUUUUUUGAAAUGGGAGUUGGACUUGAGUGAUCCCAACGCUUUUCCUCAUCGAAAAGUGGCGGGUUACUUGAAAUGCAGGUGCAGCUGGACUUUUCUCUGAGCUAUAAGCAUAUCUAUUUAGUCUGCCUAAAAAACAGAUUAUUACCUUUGCUGCAGCUAACAUAAAGGAGAUUAGUUCUUGUGCUGACUGAUGCAGGAUUCACAAAGACAGGCUUCGGCCGACUUUGUAAACUCGAUCUCAAAUCUAGUAAGACUACUCGCUGAACUUAAGCAUAUCAAUAAGCGGAGGA